AAAUGGUGUUUAAAUAGUUUUACGUAUUAAUGGUUUUGAUGUUCUUAAAGAUACUACUUCAGAUUAGUAGUGCCAAAGGCGAAAAAUAUAGUUCAAUGGUUUGUUGUUGAGAACUCGGGCUGAGAAAAGUGUUCACUUCUUAGUAUUUAACUGCACACCUACUACUUAUUACUGUUAUUAUACUUUGAACAAUGGAUGAAGAGAUUCCUAUUGCCAAUUUUGUUUUGGGUGAAAAAUUUAAAACUUGGGAUGCGUUUGAAACAAAACUGAAACAAUAUCAAGACACAAAUUUCAUACAGCUAUACAAACGCAGUUCUAAAAAAAAUUGAUACAUCAAUAGCAAAGUUUGCUAACUGUGAACAAAAAUACUGUGAACUUCUGUAUACAUGUAUCCAUGGAGGACAUAAGCUAUAUUUAAUUCUUAAAUUUUAUAUUAAAUUUGCACUAUAUUUGUUUCAGGUGAUUUCCCGUUACUGACAGAACCUUCCUAUAAGCUCCCCCCUAAAAUGAUACGCCGAGGAAGACCGAAAGGUGCAGAAACGACCGUCGUUGGAUUGCCCAGAAGAACGAAGAGAGUCAUGCCGUUUCUUAAAAGACGACCAAAGGAAAAAGAAGAAGCUAUGCUAAGUUGGAUACUGAAAUGUGAGGUAAACCUAAAAUCCGUAAUGGACGGUAGUGCGAUCAUAUUGAAAGACGACAUGAAACUACACCACAUGCUUCCAACCAAAAUAUUGGAUGAGAAUAUCAACAUUGCUAGAGUGAAAAAGUAUUUCUCACCAGAAGCAUGGCAAACAUUAAAGGUUGCCUUAUCUUCUAAAAGGGAUAUCGCAGAAUGGAACUGCACGGUAUGCGAUACGGACGUUCACAAUGCGGCAUCACUGGUGUGUGAUGGCUGCUUAGAGUGGUUUCAACAGAAAUGUAUCGGACUUAAACAUGCUCCAAAAACCACUUACUGAAUAUGUAGAAAAUGUCAUUGUAAAUAAAAAAUUAAAGAAAUUGUAUGUAAUAAUUGUAUGUAUUGUAAAUAUAAAAUAAAUGUCUUCAACUUUUA